rnacentral:miRNA from 1 species
UUGAGCAAGCUCUCGUCGCAUC